UAAGGGAGAACAGAGCACCCUAGCUGGGCUCCACUGGCCUCUCUUUCAGGGCUGCUGAAAAUGAUGAUCUUAUCAAUAAGUCACAGCUUGCAGAGCACCUUUUUUCCAAGUCCUAUACUUUUAAGUGGCCUGUGGCUGGGUGAUAGCCCCUCAUGGGUCUUUCUGUCCCACUUUUUGUCCUUGACCCUACACAAGGUCAGCCCACUGCUCAGACAUUGUCAAUGACUCCUGAGAGUCUAGAGGAUGAUGCUUGGGUUCCUUGGCCCCACACUCCUCUGUGUUCUCAGCAGGUGGCAGUGGUGGGACAGAUAGGUCUCUGGGUCCCAUCUGUGUAUAUGACAUGUUUAUCCUUGCUCUUGCUCCUGCUGCCAUGGGCCUAGAAGGCCUUCCACUUACCUAAAUCUCACCCUCCAAGGCUCCUAUCAAAUUCCAGCUCUUCCAGGGAAUCCUUUUAAGAAUUCCUAAAGUCCCCAGUAUUGAUAGUAAACUGCAUGGCACGAGUGUUCCCCAGAUGUUUGAGUGGAUAGCGGUAAGUUCUUUGAGAAGAAAGAACACCACCACCGCCACCACCACCUCUCCACCACCUUGGGAAGGUCCAGGCCCACAGCGAAUGCCCAGGAAACAGUCACAAAUGCAUUUGGUCCAUCUCCCCUCACACACACACACACAUACACCAUACAGCCUAAACACUUGCAUAAGUCUUUAUGUGCUUGGGGCCAGUCUGAUCUCGGCUUGAAUGUCACCUUGGAGAUGACUCCCUGACCACUCUAUCUUAAGUAGACCCUAUCACAUUGGCCUGUUUUACUCUCGUAGCACUUGGCAUUAUCUACAUGGUUGUGCUUGUCCAUUUCCCACUUCCUCCUUCCUACCUAGAUGAAAAACUUGCAGAUAGCGGAAACUGUAUCUCUUUUUGAUUUAUCGUUGUGACCAUAGUACCUAGUACAGUGUCUGGCAUGUGGUGCAUGCUUAGUAAUCACCAUAGGAUAAAUUAACAAAGGAACAAAUUAUACAUUCUUAUGCAGUAACCUGAGAAGUAGCUCUAUUUGACAAAUGAGGAAACAGGCCCAGAAAAGGGAAGUGACUUGCGCCAGGUUACUCAGAGAAACAGUGUUAUGGUUGGGACUAGAAUCCAAGUUCAUCAGAUUUCUGGUCCAGCAGCGGUUCCAUUCUGCCAUGAUCAUUUUGUCCCCCAGACUAAUCCCUCACUCCCACCUCCUGCCCCAACACACCACCACCACAUACACAUGUACACACAGCUGCCUCUUACCCUCUGCUUACCUUCUGCUCUGAAUAUUCCCAGCUAAAGUCCACAGCAAUAUCUGGCUCACCCAGAACUGUGCAGGUCACACUGAAGUUCUUGCCUAGUUGAACCAAUGUCGCUGAAGCUUGGAUGGCAGGUUUGGGGGAGAAAGAUAGGUCUGCCAUGGAUAAGAGGGGAGAGAAGAUGGGGACAAACACAUCGAGUUGAUUGUUAGGAUGGCUGAAUUGCUGGCAGGCAGAUGGAGAGAUGGAUGAAUGGAAUUAAUGGAUGGGAUGGUUAAAUUGAUAGAGGAUAAAUGGUUGAGGUGGUUGAGUUGAUAGAGAAUGUGUGGAUGGAUACAAAGAAUUAAUGGAGGAUGGGUGGAUGGUGGAAUGACUGGCCUGUUGGAAGAUAAAAUGGUUCAUCUGAGGGAUGGAUGAAUGGAAUACUCGAUUGAGAAUAUGUGGAUGGAUAGAAAGGCUGAACUGAUGCAGGCUAGCUGACAGUUAAUUGGCUGGCUGUCUAGACAAAAUGGUUGACUCCAUGGUGUGUUGUUGAAAGCUGCUUGGUUGGUAGAGCUCCAUAAUCCACAGACCUCAAACCAGAGGUUCUCAGAGGAGGUAUCUCUCCCCAUUUCCUUCCCUUCCCUGCCCACCCAGAGCCCUAGGUCCACCCACAGUUGAUGUAGAUCAGCAUGUACUUGGUAGAUAUUUGUCUCAUGCCGCCUAGACUGCCAAGCAGAAGAGGGAGCCAGACAAGGAAGCUUGGGGCCGGUGAUGGUGAAGCACUUCUUCACAUGAGAGGAGAUGUCCAUCCCAUCCACUGGGACCUCCACAGGGGGAACUCCUGGUACAGUGUCACCUGGGCCAGGGUGUUGGUCACCUGGCAGGGAAGCAGGGCUGGCUGAUGUGUGAAUAACUGUACCACCUCACAGUAAUUCUCCAUAGGGACAAAGAGCUCCUCUAGGUCUGGGAAUGAGAGAGAGAAAAAUAAGUGUGGGACAGAUUUGUUGCUUCCCAAUGCUCUCCUGCUGUCCAGGGACAUGAGGUCCCUCGUGGGGACCUGAAACCUCCCUUUCUCUAGCCAUCCCCAUUCUCCAUGCUCUUUCCUCUCAUAAGGGGUCCUGGUCUAAGGAUGCUGAAGACAAGCUUACUAGUUCCGGCUCUGUCGCUAGCUUGCUGUGUCUUAAAUCUCUCCCUCUCUGGUCUUUAUCAUGUAUGAUGAGUGAUUUUAGACUGCUUGGUCUCUGAGGGCCCUUCUAUGUGAAAAAUAUUACAGAAAAUACUGAACUUGAAGUCAAGGUUCCGGUUUGAUUCCCAGUCCUGCCACCCACUGGAUCUCAGGCAACUCACUUCUUCCUCUGAGCCUUGGUUCUUCUCAUAUGUCUAGUGGGAGCAACAAUCCCAUUCUGGCCUACUUUGCAGAGCUGAUAAGAAGCAAAUGAGAUACUGGAUAUGAGGCACCAGGCCCAUGGGAAGCUAACCUUCAUCAAACUCUUUCAAGGGACUUCUGGCUGCUGUCUGAUUUGGGCCACCUUCUGCCUGGUGCUCCUGAUGGCUUCACCUCACUGGGGCUGUCUGCUUUGAGGCCUAUCUUCUCCUGAGCCUUUGGAGUUCUGCUAUGCUCCCGGAUCUCAGCUGCAGAGAAGACGGGGCGGGGUCUGGGCUCCAACCUUCACCAAUCACCUUGAAUUCUGACCUUUCCACAUCCCAGCAGUUGACAGAACCUCAGAAUUCUGUCACCUUUUACAUCUACUACUACUACACAAGUAAUUCUCACUCAGAGAAAAAUUGUAAAAUGCAAACAAACCAAGGAAAAGAAUUAAAUUUGCCCCAAAGCUUAGUAUCCAUCAAUAACCACUGUCAAUAUUUUGAAACAUAGUUUUCUAAGGCUUUUUAAUGCAAAUAUUUUAAGUAUGUUUUAAAAUAAAAUAGAACAAUAUAAUACAAUGUAUUUUUAGUAAUCUCCAUUUUUACUGAGGAAUAUGUGAUUAUUAUUCUAUGUCAACAAACAGGUGCACCAACAUUUUAAAUGACUUGCAAAGUAUUUAAUGAUAGGGAUGUAUCAUGAUUUAUUUCCUCAUUGGUGGGUUUUAGGUUGUUCCACAUUCUUAGCCAAAAUAAACAACUCUGAAAUAAAUACCUUGUGCAUGUAA